AUCCAAACUUGGUAUUUGAUUGUUGCUGGAAUUAAAGGUGAGGUGGAAGGCAUCCAAACUUCCGAUUGGUUAUCGAUUUCAUGACGUAUGCUUGCAGCUUCUAGAUCUAUCCUAUUUGAAAAAUGGAUUUCAUAAAGCAUACUUCAUUGCUCAUUGAUAAUUGUACAGUAAAGAUGAUCGUAGGAGUUUAUGCCAAAGCUUGUAUCC
rnacentral:lncRNA from 1 species